UAAGUAAACCGUACGGUAGAGACUACGCGUCCUUACAGGGAGGGAGUACAGUUGGAAACGACUGCUAAUACCGCAUAACGCUGCGAUGGGGCAUCCCGAUGCAGCCAAAGGAGCAAUCCGCUGGAAGAUGGGCUCGCGGCCGAUUAGCUAGUUGGUGGGGUAACGGCCCACCAAGGCGACGAUCGGUAGCCGGACUGAGAGGUUGAUCGGCCACAUUGGGACUGAGACACGGCCCAGACUCCUACGGAAGGCAGCAG
rnacentral:rRNA from 1 species